GACGAACGCUGGCGGCGUGCUUAACACAUGCAAGUCGAACGGAAAGGCCCUGCUUUUGUGGGGUGCUCGAGUGGCGAACGGGUGAGUAACACGUGAGUAACCUGCCCUUGACUUUGGGAUAACUUCAGGAAACUGGGGCUAAUACCGGAUAGGAGCUCCUGCUGCAUGGUGGGGGUUGGAAAGUUUCGGCGGUUGGGGAUGGACUCGCGGCUUAUCAGCUUGUUGGUGGGGUAGUGGCUUACCAAGGCUUUGACGGGUAGCCGGCCUGAGAGGGUGACCGGCCACAUUGGGACUGCGAUACGGACCAGACUCCUACGGGAGGCAGCAGUGGGGAAUCUUGCACAAUGGGCGGAAGCCUGAUGCAGCAACGCCGCGUGCGGGAUGACGGCCUUCGGGUUGUAAACCGCUUUCGCCUGUGACGAAGCGUGAGUGACGGUAAUGGGUAAAGAAGCACCGGCUAACUACGUG
rnacentral:rRNA from 1 species